rnacentral:rRNA from 1 species
UCACCCACGACUGGAGCUUGCAGGAGGGGGGUAGAAUUCCCACGUGAGCAGUGAAAUGGGUAGAGAUGCGGAGGAUCACCGAUGGCGAAGGCAGCCCCAUGGGUCAAGACUGACGCUUAUGCAAGAAAGAGUGGGGAACAAACAGGAUUAGAUACCCUGGUAGUCCACGCCCUAACGAUGUCUGCUAGUUAUUGGGUCUUAAUUGACUUAGAAACGCAGAAAACGCGUGAAGUAUACCGCCAGGGGAGUACGGUCGCAAGAAAAAAACUCAAAGGAAUGGACGGGGUCCCGCACAAACGGUGGAUGAUGUGGAUUAAUUCGAUGCAACGCGAAAAACCUUACCUACCCUUGACAUGUCAGGAAUCCUGGAGAGAUCCGGGAGUGCCCGAAAGGGAACCUGAACACAGGUGCUGCAUGGCUGUCGUCAGCUCGUGUCGUGAGAUGUUGGGUUAAGUCCCGCAACGAGCGCAACCCUUGUCAUUAGUUGCUACGAAAGAGCACUCUAAUGAGACUGCCGGUGACAAACCGGAGGAAGGUGGGGAUGACGUCAAGUCCUCAUGGCCCUUAUGGGUAGGGCUUCACACGUCAUACAAUGGUACAUACAGAGGGCCGCCAACCCGCGAGGGGGAGCUAAUCCCAGAAAGUGUAUCGUAGUCCGGAUUGUAGUCUGCAACUCGACUGCAUGAAGUUGGAAUCGCUAGUAAUCGCGGAUCAGCAUGUCGCGGGGAAUACGUUCCCGGGUCUUGUACACACCGCCCGUCACAACCGUGGGAGCGGGUUUUACCAGAAGUAGGUAGCUUAACCGCAAGGAGGGCUUUUAACCACCGGUAGGAUUUCGGGAUGGC